rnacentral:rRNA from 1 species
CACGCAGGCGGUUUAUCAGGUCGGAUGUGAAAUGCCGGGGCUCAACCCCGGAACUGCGUUCGAAACCGGUAAGCUGGAGUUUCGGAGGGAGAAGGGGAAUUCCUGGUGUAGGGGUGAAAUCCGUAGAGAUCAGGAGGAACACCGGCGGCGAAAGCGCCUUCUUGGACGAUGACUGACGCUGAGGUGCGAAAGCGUGGGGAGCAAACA